AGUGAACGCUGGCGGUAGGCCUAACACAUGCAAGUCGAACGGCAGCACAGUAAGCGCUUGCUCUUACGGGUGGCGAGUGGCGGGCGGGUGAGGAAUACAUCGGAAUCUACUUUUUCGUGGGGGAUAACGGAGGGAAACUUACGCUAAUACCGCAUACGACCUACGGGUGAAAGCAGGGGAUCUUCGGACCUUGGGCGAUUCAAUGAGCCGAUGUCGGAUUAGCUAGUUGGCGGGGUAAAGGCCCACCAAGGCGACGAUCCGUAGCUGGUCUGAGAGGAUGAUCAGCCACACUGGAACUGAGACACGGUCCAGACUCCUACGGGAGGCAGCAGUGGGGAAUAUUGGACAAUGGGCGCAAGCCUGAUCCAGCCAUACCGCGUGGGUGAAGAAGGCCUUCGGGUUGUAAAGCCCUUUUGUUGGGAAAGAAAAGAAGCAGGUUAAUACCCCGCUGUUCUGACGGUACCCAAAGAAUAAGCACCGGCUAACUUCGUG
rnacentral:rRNA from 1 species